AUGCAUAUACUGUCCACAUGGGCACACGUUUACUCUUGCCUGCGCGCGCCACUGCUUCAUCAAACACUCGCGCACACGCACAGCCGGGUGCACGCUGUCGCUUCGCCGCACAAACACGGAUUGUACGGGCCCCCAAAUAUGCAGCCACCCUUCCUUCACGCAGAUCUGCACGCUCCCAUUUAUGCAUCUCCCAAACAAAGGUAGCAAAACAAGGACCUCGCUGUGCAAAGCUGUGAGUAAAUGUCCUGCAAAUUGCGCCUCAGAGCCCAAGCUAGUCUACUAAACUCGCUCUCCCUUUUUCAACUUUCCCCUAAGUAAACAGGCCUUCUUUUUAUCCUGCAAAUCUCAGGCCCAAAUUUCUUCCACCUGAGUUUGAGCUGUUUAAAGGACUCUAAUUUCCAAACAGUUGGAGAGCUCUUUUCACCGACCUGGAACGUUCUGUCCUGUCGAGGAGCAGAGGUGGAGUGUGGAGUGGAGGUGGGGGAAUCUCACAGUCUAGGGGACUUGGGGAGGGCAGGGUGUGGUCGUACUCUGGGGCAGCCUUGCACCUAGAGAUCCUAUCCGUGUCCGCAGCCUUAUUUUCCUGACUCAGAACCAUAGGAGCUUUUAGCUAUUUAGGGACUCGCCAAGGCAGAAAUCUGCUCCCAGCUGAAGCGUCUUCGCAGGUGUUCACAUUCCCUUCCCAGAUGGGUGUUGCGGAUAAACCCACAGAUCUGUAUUCAGCGUGUUUCCCCUGGCAAGUUUGCGCGAGUGAGAGCCAAGACUUCAGCUAGAACCGGAAGAAAGGGUGACUGCAGGUCGCACAGUCAGUGUGACAGCCGGGGCUGGAGCCUGCGCGCCCCUGCUGUGCCCCGUCCCCGGCGGGUGGGGACCGACCGAAGCUCGUUGGCGUGUGAGUGCCUGAAUGCGCAUUCAGUCCGCGCCUCCGUCAAGACUUUCGGAGUCUCCCCCUCCCUUGCUCACCUCCGCUGCUUUGCCCUCCGGAAGCGACUCGCGCCCUUUGGGACAAAGAGCUCGGAUCGGGGGCUGGAGAGCCCGGGGACCAGUCAGCGCUCCAGGCGGGGUGGGUCUGGCCCGGGCUCACUUUGAGAAGCAGCCGCCUUCCAAUCUUCGGAAAUCCAACUUCUUCCACUUCGUCCUGGCCCUCUACGACAGACAGGGCCAGCCUGUGGAGAUCGAGAGGACAGCCUUUGUGGGGUUCGUGGAGAAGGAAAAAGCCACUUCCCGUCCCGGACGAAGCUGGGCUUCCGGUCCACGGGGUCCUGCUCCAAAAAAGUUCCAGUGGAGCCCCCAGAGCUGGAGCCAGGAAGCCAACAGCGAGAAGACCAAUAACGGGAUUCACUACCGGCUGCAGCUCCUUUACAGCAAUGGGAUAAGGACAGAGCAAGAUUUCUACGUGCGCCUCAUUGACUCCAUGACAAAACAA
rnacentral:lncRNA from 1 species